ACGUAGGGUGCGAGCGUUAAUCGGAAUUACUGGGCGUAAAGCGUGCGCAGGCGGUUCUCUACUCCCUUUUUUCCCUCCCCUUUCUUCCCCUUUUCCUUUCUCUUGUGACUUGCGGGCUGGAGUACGGCAGAGGGGGGUGGAAUUCCACGUGUAGCAGUGAAAUGCGUAGAGAUGUGGAGGAACACCGAUGGCGAAGGCAGCCCCCUGGGCCGAUACUGACGCUCAUGCACGAAAGCGUGGGGAGCAAACAG
rnacentral:rRNA from 1 species